GAUGAACGCUGGCGGCGUGCUUAACACAUGCAAGUCGAACGGAAAGGCGCUGCUUGCAGGGUACUCGAGUGGCGAACGGGUGAGUAACAAGUGGGUGAUCUGCCUUGCAAUUAGGGUUAAGCCUGGGAAACUGGGUCUAAUACCGGCUAGGAGCCAUUUUUAGUGUGAUGGUUGGAAAGUUUUUUCGGUGUAGGAUGAGCUCGCGGCCUAUCAGCUUGUUGGUGGGGUAAUGGCCUACCAAGGCGGCGACGGGUAGCCGGCCUGAGAGGGUGGACGGCCACAUGGGGACUGAGAGACGGCCCAGACUCCGACGGGAGGCAGCAGGGGGAAAUAUUGAACAAUGGGCGCCAGCCUGAUGCAGCGACGCUGCGUGGCGGAUGACUGCCUUCGGGUUGGAAACGCAUUGCGCUAGUGACGAAGCAGUUUGUGACGGUACCUAGAGAAGAAGCACCGGCUAACUACGUG
rnacentral:rRNA from 1 species